UACGAAGGGGGCUAGCGUUGCUCGGAAUCACUGGGCGUAAAGCGCACGUAGGCGGAUCUUUAAGUCAGGGGUGAAAUCCCAAGGCUCAACCUUGGAACUGCCUUUGAUACUGGGGAUCUCGAGUCCGGAAGAGGUGAGUGGAACUGCGAGUGUAGAGGUGAAAUUCGUAGAUAUUCGCAAGAACACCAGUGGUGAAGGCGGCUCACUGGUCCGGUACUGACGCUGAGGUGCGAAAGCGUGGGGAGCAAACAGG
rnacentral:rRNA from 1 species